ACACCAGAUCUUAUACACACAGGAAUCAUCCUUCCUGGCCGGUGUCAGCUUCCAGCAGCCGCUCCUUGUGUCCAGGUGAAUUCUGACACACAAGCCC